CCCUUCCCUCCCCUCCCCUUCCCUUCCCUCCCCUCCCCUCCCCUCCCCUCCCCUCCCCUUCCGUUUCUUUUUUGAGACAGGGUUUCAUGUAGCCUAGGCUAUCCUUGAACUGAUUUUUCUGCCUCCACCUCUGGAAUGCAGGGAUGAUCACCAUCCACCACCAUGCUUGGCUAGUUUCUAAUUCUCCCGUAGACAGAUAGGAUGGCCAGGCAUCCCAGGAGGCUAAAACAAGUGAGUUGUGAAAGAUUAGCUUGGGCUACCCAGUGAGGUGAAGGGCCAGCCUGGUUUUAAUAGUGGGACCCUGUUUCAGCCAUCACCUCUGCCUGCAUUAAGAGCUUGUGGGAAGGUCAAGGAAAUCCACAAGCUGCCCACCUCUUUUCCCCCAGCCUUAGGCUGACAGCACUCUCCUUCCAGUUCACCAGCCAUGGGCUAAGGAUGUAGGGGAGAGAGAUGGGCUGUGGCUCAUGAGGAAUUUGCUGUGGGAAAAAUGUUUCUCCCAAACCAUGACCAGGAAGUACUGUUUUGACCAAGAUUUGCCACAUGCGCUGUCCUCUUGGCGGUGUGACCCGAGGGUUUCUGCACCACAUAAACUUCAAUAGGGCUCAGUUCUCAGGCUCAGAACAGCCCACCCCACACAGGCCACCAAGACCUCUCUCUCCAUCCCCGUGGUUGGUACUGCUGUGCUCUCCUGUGAGACAGCCUUGACCUUGAGCAGGACCUAGGCUGGCUGGCCCAGCCUGUAUGCAGGUGGGAAGCCAUUCUCUGCUGACUCAGGCCUGGCCUGGGGCAGGUGCAUGCCUUCAGCCUAUGAGUAACACUGGUGUUUCAUCUUCAAAGGGCCUGCCUUCCCAGGAUUAACCAAUUAGUCACCCCAGGAGAGCCACAGUACAGGUUACUACUGUCUUCAUUAGGCUAGAAUGAAGCUGGGGGAGGGGAGAGAGGAGGCUCCUACUGCAGGCCAGGAGGAGCAUCAGUGUGUACAUUCGGUGUAGGAUGCCCCAUGGUAUGGGAUGGACAGGAUGAGACAAGACCCCCAUAUGGAGCUGGAGCUGAUCCCUGGAUGGGAAUGAAAGACACCUGGGGGAUGUUAUGGACUGGGGAGUCCUGGUUCCAUGCAGAGUGUCCUUCUUGUGACUAGGGAGAUGGCCCAGCAGGUAAAGUGCUUGCUAAGCUGGUGUAAGGACCUGAGUUCAGACCCGUAUAAAAAGCUGGACUAGGUGGGUCACAUGCCUAUGACCCCAGAGCUGGGGUGGGGGCAUGGAAACAGAGAGAGCUUUAGAACUCUCUGGCCAGCUAGUUUAGCCGAAGCCAUGAAGUCUAGGUUCAGUGAGAGACCCUAUCUAAAAAAACAAAACCAAACCCAAAGUGGCGAGCAAUAGAGGGGGACCCCUGAAGUCGGUGUCUGGCUUCCACCCAUAUGCACACACAGAUGAGCUCACUUACACACACACACACACACACACACACACACACACACACACACACACACACACACACGAGGCGGGAAGGGAGAGGUUGGUAGGGGAACUGACCCGUGGGGACCACCAUGUGUUCUCACCAUUGCAGUCCAACCUCACUCUGCCCCUCUGAGCCUUCCAGGCAUCUAUAGCAUGAGUCUUUCAACAGUUUCUGGUGCGCGUGUGUGUGAGAGAGAUUCUUUUUGGGGGUGUGGUGGGGAGGAACUUUUGAGACAGGAUUUCCCAUAUCCUAGGCUGGCUUUGAACUUGCUCUGUAGCUGGGAAUGGUUUUGAACUCUUGACCCUCCUGCCUCCGCCUCCCAACUGCUGGGAUUGCAGGCCUGCGCCAUCACAUCCAGUUGAGUCGGGGGAUUCAGGGGACUUCAGGGAUGAUAAGGACCUGCCACGCAGAUGCCUGGCACAUAAACCGUUGCGAUGUGAAAACUUAGAAGAGUAAGAGGCGGACAUGGCACCCUGGCCACACACGUGUCCCUCUGAGGUACAUGGUGAAGAAAGCGAGGGUCGUAAAGGUAAGUUUGCAUCUUGGAAGUGCGAUAGGGGCAAGCCUUUCCAUCAAGCCUCUCCGCAGCUGCUUUUUAUAACCUUGGCAUCAACAUGUGCCUGGCAGUGCCAGCACAGUGUAUCUGGAAAAUAUUUUCUGCACACACACACACACACACACACAAAACCGCACACGCACACGCACGCCCGGAAAGGGGAUAAAGGAAAAAAACAAAACCAGCCAACAACAAACAGAAAAUGUGAAGGAUACAGAAUGUCUUCACAGAGUGGUUCCCGCCCAUGACUUCUCCAGCUCAUUUCCCCGCUGCCAAUUUUAGAAGGCCAGAAGUCACUGUUGUUGUUAAACUUUGCCAGUAAGAAUGUAACUCCAAGGGAAGAGUCAUGUGAUAGACUGGUCAGAAAGCCUUUGGAGAGCUGCCCCAGUGGAAGCUACACCUUCACCUCUGAACUGGCCCCAUGUAUUUUCUGUGUUGGACAUUGCGCUCCACAGUGGGCCUGCCUCUCGGGAGCUCAGGCCUAGGAAAUCUCCAAAGAGCCUCCCUAACAGGAAAGAGAGGUAUGAUGCACCAAGCUGUCAUCAUUUGUCCCGUGUGACCCAGAAACAGAGUGGAUGUCAUUAAGGGCAACCUACUGCAAGAUCUUCUAGAUAUGGCUGUACCUGCUGUCUCACACCCCCACCCUGCAGAAUCAGGAAGCAAGGAGCUGAAAGAGAGUGACUGGAUUGUGGAGGCCCGAUUUCCUCCCUCGUUUGGAAGCACUGAAAAGCCAGGAAGAACAGCCAGGUCAGUGGUCUGGGCUUUGAGACUAGCAGGCUGGACAUUCUCUUGGCCUAGAAGACUAGAGGCAGGUAAGCCCUGUGAUCUCCUCUAGCAAUUUCAAUGGCAGUCAACUCGAAGAACACAGCAGGCAGGCAGACAUUUCAAAUGCCUGUGCUUAGGACCAACUAUGAAAACCCAAAGUCCAGCAAGGUGCCUGUAGCAUAGUCAACGGUCAGUGUGGAAGACAGCCCCACCCUCUUUCCAGUCUCUCUCUUGUGUCUUGUCUAUUAUUCUCCCUGGAUGGCCAUUCCCAGCAGCAGGUGGGGGGUACUGAGGGUUGCAGGGGAAGGCAGGGAGAAAGGAAGGUUUUCUUGGUGGCCGGGUCCCCAAGCCCUUGGCCCGGUGUAAUCUCAGUCAGCACAGAGCCAGAACUGGGAUGGCUGCUCUGGAAGCUAGAUUGUUGUGUCGGAUCCAGGAGUUAAGGUCAGCACUGGUAAAUAAAUCCAGUCCCAAAUUCUGCCCCUGAGUUGCUGAGCUGCCAGCGUAAGACCACCCUCUUGGGCUGAGAGAUGACUCAGCGGUUAAAGGCACUGGCUGCUCUUCCAGAGGCCCUGAGUUCAAUUCCAAGCAACCACAUGGUGGCUCACAACCACCUGUAAUGAGAUCUGGUGCCCUCUUCUGGUGUGCAGGGACACAUGCAGGCAUAACAUUGUAUACAUAAUAAAUAAAUAAAUCUUAAAAACAAAACAAACAAAAAACCCCACCCCCUUUGUUCCAGAUGUUCUCUGGCCAAAGGGGCUCAAACUCCCCACACUCGGUGGUGGUGGUUGUUUUCUACUCUUUUUGGGGUCCCGCCACCCAGCUCCCAAAUAAAUUACACUCAGGCGUAUUCUUAAUUAUAUGCCUGGCCUUGACUUGGGCUGUUGCUAGCCAGCUUUUUUUAACUUAUCCCAUCUACCUUUGGCCUCAAGGCUUUUCCUGUUCUCUUACUUCUGUCAAUCUUACUCUUACUUUGUGGCUUGCUGUGGAGCUGAGUGGCUGGCCCCUGGAGUCCUUCUCCUUCUCUGGCUCUUUCUUUUCUUUUCUCCCAUAGUUCUCCUAUAUAUUCUCUCCACCCGCCCAUCCUUUCUCCUGCCUUGCUGUUGGCCGUUCAGUUCUUUAUUAGACCAUCAGGUGUUUUAGAUAGGCACAGUAACACAGCUUCACGGAGUGAAACAAAUGCAACAUAAACAAAAGUAACACACCUAAAAAUAAUAUUCCCCAACAACUUGGUGCAUGACAAGAUCAACUUCCUGACCACCCACACUAUGCCUUGGUGGAAAAUGUGAAGAUGGCUUCCCUGUCCAAGAGCCAGACUCUGUGUGGAGCCAUGUGGUGUUGGUUUAAAAAUGAAUCAUGUGUCAUGUGGUGGUACAUGACUGUAAUCGUAGUAUCCAAGAGGAGGCUGAGGCAGAAGAUCAAGAAUUUGAGGCCAGCCUGGGAGAGAUGUCUGUCAGGAAAAUGCCACUCUACAAGUGUGACGACCUGAGUUCGGUCCCCAGCACUCAUGUAAAAGCUGGGUACUGUGUGCAUUUAUAAUCCCAACAUGGAGGCAGAGAGAUGAGGAUACCUGGGGCUGGAUGGCUAUCCUAGCUGGAUUGGAAAGCUCCAGGUUCAGUGAGAGACCCUGCCUCAAAAAACAAACAACAGACAAAUUAAAAAAAAAAAAAAAAAACAAAAGCAAAAGCAUGGAGAGUGAUAGAGGAAGACACUUGGCACCAACUUCUGGCCUCCACAUGCAUGUAUAUGUUCACAUGUCCACAUACACCACACACACAUAUGAAACAACAAAAAGAUUACCAAGUGUGUGCUACAUCGUAUAGGCUUUUGGAGACAGGUUCUUUCCAAGGAGCAGGCAGUAGUCGGCAGGCGAUGGACAGGGGUCAAAGGAUUCCAGCUGUGGGCCAUGGGUGACACAGACCAUUGAGAGAGCUAGAAUUGAGAGCAUCCUUGGAUUGGUGGUGUCCCUUCUCACAGCUGGGAUGCUGUGAACAGUGGGCAAAACAAUGUACCUGAAAAGCACUGUGGCAAGUGUGAUGACCCUCAUGAUUCUGGGCUGGGUCUGUUCAUCCCACCCCUGGGUCUGAUUCUGCUUUCUCUCUUUGAUAAGCUGAUUUAUUUGUUCAUGGGUUGAUUUUUAAAUUAAAAAAAAUUUCACUGUGUACAUGGUGUAGUGUCACACGAGAGCAUGUCUAUACACAUACAUAUUGCAUAUUGAGCGUGUUUCUCACAGAAUCUGCCUCAGUUAUGUUUCUGUAUACAUCUAGAAACUGUGUAGAAGCCAAAACAUAUAUUUGCUUAAUGUGAUUAUCUCCAGUUGCAUCUCUUUUCCUGAAGAUGAUGUAACUUUUCCUCUUCCUUGUGAACUGUAUGUACAUAAUGUCCAGGGAGAAUUCUGUCAUGUAUAUUAGCCAAGUUUUCUUUAUCUGUUCCUCUGUUGUUGGACAUCUGCAUGGGUUCUGGAACUUACCAGUUGUGACUAGUGCACAGCAAACGUUGAUGGGGUGUGCUGGCUUGGAGCGCUUUGGGCAGAUCGUCUGGGAGUGGAAGAGCUGGGUCACGUGGCAGAUCUAUUUUAGCUUUUGAAGAACCUCUGUACUGAAUACUGAUUUCUAUACUGAGAAAGGGUGGUUUUGCUAUGAAGCCCAGGCUGGUCUCAAACUCAUGGCAGUCCUCCUGCCUCAGUUCACUGAGCUCUGGUGUCUGGCAUCACACUUGGCUUGACUAACUUGAUUUAAUUAAUAAUCCAGUCCAAAAACAAACACCCAGGCAAACCCAUAUUCCAAACUGGCCUUAAAAAAAUAUGUUUUUGAGACAGGAGGUGGUGGUGCACACCUUUAAUCCCAGCACUUGGGAGGCAGAGACAGGCAGAUCUCUGUGAAUUCGAGGCCAGCCUGGUCUACAGAGCGAGUUCCAAGACAGUCAGAGCUACACAGAGAAACCCUGUCUCGGAAAACAAACAAUUUAUACUGGGUGUGAUGGUUCACAUCUAGACUCCGAGCACCCUUGAGACUGAGGCAACAGGCUAGAGCCUGAAUUUGAGGCCAACCUGGAAGUUCAAGGUCUGCCUGGGCUAUAUAUAACAAGACUCUGCCUUGAAAAACAACAAUAACAUUUUUUUUUAAAGGAUGGGGUGGGGUUGGGUGAGAAGGGACAGACACUGCCAUCUGAGUCCCUCAGUACUGCCUGAUUGCUAAGUCAGCUUUCCUGCAGAUGGCUUGCACAGAGCAGGCGUGGGGGGACAAACGCUUAUUUCCACUUGGCACACAGUUUCUGCCCGGGACCUCUCUGUCCUCCGGCCACAGCUUCUGAUGAUUUGAAAGCACUCAGGAAAUGAACUAGAAUUUUAAAAACUCCCUCCUCUUCCUUUUCCAAGCCAGCAAUGCCUUCCCAGAAAAGAAUAAACAAGGGAAGUGUGACUGCCUUCAACCAGACUGAAAAGCCCGUUCUGGAUGCUGGGCUGUUCUGGAUGCUGGGCUCAGGAUGCCCCUCCUGGGGGGAUGUGUGGAGAGGCAGUGUGGCCAUGGGUCUCAGAGGAAGAGGCAGUGGAGGUCCUGAGACAGCUGUGUGUACCAAACACACAGAGAGAAAGAUAGGCAUCCUCACGUGUGUGAGAGCCCCCCGUCGACCUGCAAGUGGACAGCACCUCUCCAUGACCCAGACACGUUUGUCUGCGUGUGGAUGACUAUCUGGGGCUUCUAGGUGUUUGUGUGUGAUUUGUGACAUUUUGAAGGGUUGUUAUUAAUAACAUGUCUGGCAGUACAGAGGCUGGGGGUGAAGUCUUUUUAGUUCACUUAUCGGGGCGGAGAACAUUUCCUUUGAUGAGGGAAAAAUCUCCACUGUGUUGCUGCCCCUCCCAUUAAGGUGACAGCAGAUGCUAGUUACCAUUCCUGUGCAGGACACAGUACUCAGCUGGGCUCCGAGGCCAGAGUCUGUUCCCUCUGUUGGGGAAUACACUUCCUAUUGAUUGUGGCUUAUGUGCAAUUCAGGCACCAACUUGAAGGGACACCGGGCCAGCAUUUACCAGUGGCUGUCUACACCUCAGGUUUCGCACUGGCAGGUGGUGAUCGUGCCACAGACUCCAUGAGGAGACAUUCUUUUACUGUCAAAACAAUAAAGGAUGUUUUCCUGACUCGUCGUCGUCAGAGGACCCUCUCCUCCUUUUCAUUUGACAGUAAAUAUAAUUAGUAACAGUCUGAGCUCAUCGCCAGCCCUUCCUACCCUGGAGUUCAGAGGACUGCUGACUGUGUGUCAGCACCUCCAGGAGUGACUUUUAUUUAGAAGCAGUUCCAAGGACCAAGGGGCAGAUUGCUUAUCAGCCCUUCUGCUGCCUGAGCCUCAGUUCUCCUGUCUUCUUGACUUGGACGUGUGCCAGGUAUCCCUGGGAUAUGUGUGGUUCAUGCUGGGGCCAGCUCUUCUUGGGGCCGGAGUAUGGAUGAUGUAGUAAUGAGGUGGCCAGUGCCAUUACUGCUGGCUCCCCCCAUUACUACUGGCUCUGAGCCUUGGGGCUGUGAGGGGCACCUGUGUACCUGCGGGUCAGAUCUGUCUGUCCCAGGCUGGCUGCCAAGAGCAAGUGCCUUUGUUGACAGAUCCCUGCUGGAGAGCCUGGCAUGGAAGUGUAGGUCCUCACGCAUGUCAGGAGCACUGACGGGUCACUCAGGCAGCCUGAAGCGCGCCCCCCUGAUGAAAGAGAAGGCUGGCGAUCUGGGGAUCACUGUCACGCUGUGGAGAGCAUGCCUUCUGUUGAAAGCAUGAAUGCAUGCAUAGCUCAUGGGCAGAUUCUGGCAUGAGAGCCGGGCCAAUGGGCUUGGUGACUCAGGAGAAGCUGAGUGCACCUCCCUGGGGCGGGCAGUGGUAACCGUAUGGCUGGUUGGCCUGGCCUUCUCUGGCCUGAAUCAAAUGCAGCAGGCGUCAUCCAAGCCGUAAGCACCUUUCCCCAAGUUGCUCAAAGUGUUUUCCGAGCAAACAGUUGUUUCUUCACACCGUGAGAAGUAGGUGGGGUGACAAGGCUGUCUUUGUCCCUGUCUUUCAGAUGAGGAAAUUGGAAAGCUUGCCUGGCCUGGUGGGGAGGCCAAGGGAGGGAGAAGGCACUGUCCCGCCCUAGGCUCUGGAGUCCCGAGGGCUGGGGCCAACUGUGCCCAGUCACCAGUCCCUGCAGGGAGGGGCAGGGUGUAUGGGAAGGAGGCUAGAGGUGGAAAAGACACAUCUCCUUUCUCUGGACCAAGAGGCUUUGGAAAGCAGUGGCGGAAGCUCUUGCUGGGCCCUGUGGCCCUCGGUGUUGACAUUGGCUAUUGGUGACGAUGGAGGAUGUCACAGUACCCUGGCCUACUUGGUCUGCUUGAAGCUCCUGGUGGUUAACAGUGACCUUCUGGGGGCCUCAUCCUGUCUCAGGCGUUAUUCCAAGCAUGGAGAACACAUUGAUGAGUGGGUCGUGUAUGACCUUGCCACUACAGUGCUCACUGGAGUCCCAGUUGAUGUAAAAUUAUGGUGCAAUCAUUUUGGAGAGUAGCAUGUGUCCUAAGGAUGAUACACAGGAAUAAGACUGGGCUGGGGAGAUGGCUCAGUGGUGAGAGUGUUUGCCAUGGAAGAAGGCCUGAGUUCAAAUCCCAUGUACCCAUGUAGAAAGCCAUGGGUGAUUCUGUGUGUCUAUAACCGUAUUGCUGUGGAGGGCUGGGACAGAAGGAUCACUGGAGCUUGUCGGCAGGCUGCCUGUCUAGUUCUAGUGAGAGACCCUGUCUCAAGGGAGGAAAGUGUGGAUAGAGCAGGACACCAGUGUCCUGUGGUUCCUGCAUGAAUGGUGAACACAGGCACCCUAUAUACAAGUGCACAUAUACCAUGCAUAUACGCCAUACUUACACACACGCACGCACUAUACUUGCACCCACCAUAUAUAUAUGUAUGCACACACACACACACAUGUAUAUAUAUAUAUACACAUAUAUAUAGCACACACAUACACACACACACACACACACACACACACACACACACACACACACACACAGAGUCUCUCUUACAACAAAGAGCAGAGGGGAAGAGUAAAGGGAAUAACUUCAGAUACAGGCUUAGGAAAGAAUGAGGUGGGCAGACCUGGGAGCAAGCUUCCGGGGGAGGAACAGCAGGUGCAGAAGUUCUGAGGAAAUGGGGUAGCAGGUCCAAAGGCCAGGGAAGUCUCUGUUCUUAGAUAGUGGUGAGAGAUGACCUGAGGGCUCUGAGCAGGGCCCUGGGAAGGCAGAGAGAACCUGGUGGCAUGGCCAUGUAUGAUUGUGACCGCAGGGACAGGGGAGGAUGGGGGAUAUGGGAUAUGGGCUAGUCAGUACAAUGCUUAACCUUACAAGUAAAAGGACCUGAGUUCAAUUCCCUAGAACCCAUAUAAUAAAAUCUGGGUGUGGUGAUGUGUAGUUAUAAUCCCAGCACUGGGGAAGGUAGGGUCAGGAGGAUCCCUGGUGCUCACCAGCCAGCCUCAUCUACUUGGUGAGUUCCAGACCAGUGAGAGACCCUGUCUCAAAAAACAAAACCAAAAACGGUAGGUAGGUGGCUUUUGAGGAUUGAUAAUCAAAAUUGUAUUUUGGCUUUCCUCUAUGCAUAUAUACAUAUACAUGUAUACCCCCAUGUGUGCACGCAUGCACACACACACACACACACACACACACACACAAAACCUGGAACAAGAAUGUGUGCCUGUGGGUGAGUAUAAACAACCACCGAUCCAAGAGGCUCUUUUUGACCACACAAGUGGCAUUCUGCAUUGUGUAGAUUUUGGAAAAAGGAAGUUGUAUGGCACACCUGUAAUUGUAGCAACUGGGAGGCUGAGGCAGGAGGAUCACACAUUUGAGGCUAGUCUGAGCUACAAGUGAGACUGUCUCAGGAAAGAACUGCAUCAGAAAAGUUGACAUGGCCCCCCGCUAGGCACUGACCUGCUGCUGGAGGGCCAGGUCAGAGCCCCCCCCUGCAGGGUGCAUUCCAAUUCUCCUCUAGGUCAGAGCCUCCUGCAGGGUGCAUUCCAAUUCUCCUCCAGGUCAGAGCCCCCUGCAGGGUGCAUUCCAAUUCUCCUCCAGGCCAGGUUUGGGGGCAGGAGAUGAACAAUGAUGUGCGUUCAUGUGUGGUGACUACCCGGUGUCCCAGUGGAAAGCUGUACAAUUUGAAGCAGAGGUUUGCUUGCUGAUAGACUGAAAAUGCUGUUAGGAGGUGGCUGUUGUGGAUAAAGCCUCGGAGGUUCCUCCUUUAUGACCAGUUUGUCCGCUAGGCAGAUCCAUGUCUGGGUGUAUGGCACUUUGUAGCUUCCAUGACCAUAUUCUCAUUUGCUUUACUCUGCACUUCAGAAGACUUGGGAUGUUGCUCAGUGGUAGAGUGCUUGCCUGGCAUGUGCAGGGGUUGAUGACCCCCAAUACCAGAGGGGGACAGAGAGAUUGAGAGAUUCUCCUAGCACCUUAUCACAGGCAAUGUUUAGUUGUAGGAGUGAACAGAGGGUAAGUCCGGAGUCACACAGCACUAGGACACCUGGGAAUUAGCCCUACUUCUCAGCUUUUGCCUUCAGGCUUUCCCAGGCCUCAGUUGUCAAGCCUUUGGUGGCAGUGGGCCAGAGUGGUUCCGGGCACCUGGACAGAUUGUGUGACCAGGAGUUUGGUAAGCUGGGAGGUGCUGCAACUCUCGGGGCUCCUGGGAACCAGUUCUCCGCUCACAGAGCUGUGUUGCGACGUGACUAAUGGGUGAGAGGGUUGAGACCCAAAGCCAUUACUUCACCAAUGUGAAUCAGGGUCAUCUGUCAUCUUAGGAGGCAUGGGGAGCUGUGCCACUCAGGAGGGAAGGGAGGUGCCUACUUCUGAGUCCAGCCCUCAGUGUGGUCUGGCGCUUGUCCCAUGUGAGGGAGCAGGGACAUUUCUAGAAAGAAGAAUGUGCAAGGUGGCCAGGUUGGGAGCCAGAGCUAGGGGACGUGACUGUGCCUGCUGCAAUACCCCAGUCCACAGGGGUAUUGUCAGGAGCUGGCCGGUGACCAUCGUGGCCUGAAGGCUCUUGGGCACUGUGACAGGGGUUGGGAAGGCUACCUGAGGAGAACAGGUUCAUACCGAGCUUCUGGAGUCUCCUCAGACAUGGCCUCUCUUCCUAGCUUGGCAGGGUUGCUGUCACAGUUUGGGUGUGAAACGUCCCCCAGGUUCAUGCAUUUACACACUUGGUCCCUCCCGGAAGUGCUGUUUUUCGGGACCUUUGGGACACAAGGACUAGCAGAUGUAGGCAGCCAGAGGUUCUCUACUUCCUAAUUUCCCAAGAUGUGAACAAGCUGCCUCAUGUUCCUGUCACCACAUAUGGGAGCUGUUCAUCAGAGAGUUGGGGCUCAGAGGAAGAACCCUCGCGGGCCACUCCUAGAGGAUACAGUUGCCCCCACUUGGGUCAGUGGACAAGUGUUCAGCGAGCUGGAACGGCACUUCCUACCAGGAACCCAGGCUCUCUAUCAUGGCUGCCCGAUGGGCUCUCGGCCUAGCCCUGAGCUGUUCCUGUAGUCCUCACAUCAUCCAUAUCUGCCAGCUUCUCCUGCCCCCAUUCUUGCUGAUAUCCACAGUGCUUCAAACUAACAUGAUCUGCUGUGUUGGUUUGGUUGUUCUCUUCUAGUGUUUCUUCUUUGCAAGUUCCACGAGGGACGGAAUCUUGCCUGAUUUAGGUCAUAGGUUCACAUCCUGGGGACAGAGAACAUCUGUGUCUCUCCUUUGGAAGAAUGGAUCAAUGUGUGGAUGUCAGGAAGCAGCUGGGGUGGAGAUGGGACCAGGAGGCGUAGACCACAUGAGUGGAUGCCAUGUGAGGGCCCUCUCGCAGAGGGGUGCCUGAAGCCCCUGGAGGGCAGACUUCCUAGGGUCCUACAGACUCCUCUUGAGGUACUUCUGGAGGGCCACAAUGUUGUCUGGUAAAGGAGUGGGAUUUGUGGGUGAGUAAACGGGCCGGCCAAGAGGUCAGGAGUAACUCAGUCUCAGAAACUGCACGUGUCAUAGGAAUGGAGGAGCCAGGAAUGUGUUUUGCACUGAUGUCAACCUGCCCCCACUGGACCACACCUGCUUUUCGACCCAUGAGCGUGGGAAUGAGAAAAGCGUGGCUUGUUUGGGUAGAGGUGGAGCACCGGUAAGAGUGGAGGAUGCUCGUUCCCUGACUCAGAGCGGGGAGGUACUCUGGGCCCUGCCACAGCCUGAGGACUGUGGUAAGUCAGCCUGGGUUCCUGGCCCUUCCCCAUCAGGUGCCCCAGUGAGGGCCUUGUUCGGACAGGUGCGCUCUCUGCAUGGGACAGCUUCCCUUUGCCCAGGUUCCUCUUGUCUGUAAGAUGCAGGAGUCGUCUUCUCCACAGAAUGGAGCCAGGACCUGGAGGCUGGACUCCCAGCUCCCAGCUUAGGCUCCGUACCACCCCCUGCCUGUUUCGUCUUCUGCUUCCCCACAGCUUCACCCUCCAAGGAUGUCAGGGCCAUGUUCACCAGCCUUUCUUCUUUUCCUCUCCCCAGCCUCAGGCUGCCCUGCUAAGAGUCUAUGUUUUCUGAGACCCCUGCAGCCAGGGUCUGCUGCUGCAUAGAGACCCUGCCUCUGCUGCAGCUCUCCAGACAGUGGUGCAGGCUUCAUAGCAGCCUGGCCUCCAUAUUCUUCACGUAUUUGAAUCCAAACCCAAAGGCUUGUGUGACUCAUUGAAGGGCUGGUCUUGGCUCUCACUGACCAGUUUAUCACUGAUGCCAAGUGACAUGCAGGCUCCUCGGUUACCAGGAAGUUGGGGUUCUCUCUUUGGGGGUUCUUAGAAGAUUUUGUAAGGCUGGUGAGAUGAGGGGGCUGGUGAGGUGACCCAGUGGGUAAAGGCACUGACUUCCAAGCCUCACAACCUGAGUUUCAAGCCCUAGGAUCCAAAGGGUAAAAGUUGUCUUCUGAUCUCCACAUGUGGGCCCACAUACACACACACACACACAUGCACAUAAAGGGAAUUUGAAAAUGUAAUGAAAAACUGUUUUUUAAGGAUUUGAAGAUGGACUCAGAACAAUUUUGUUAAAGUUUGAGAGAAAAACAAGAGGGGAAACAAACAGAAAAUCCCGGCAGUGGCCAGAGGAGAGGGGAGAUGGAGAGUCAGGCCUUUGCAGUUUGGAGGUCAGAGAAACUGUCCUGAGCAUCAGGGAAGCAUGCUCAGGGGUGCUGAGCCACGGACCUGAGUUCAGAGGGACCAAGUUCCAGGCUUGUGUGUCCAAGAGCAAAGGGUUGCACCAGGGACACAAGAUUGGAAACAGAAAUAGAGACAGUUUAUGAAAAAGAAAAGCAGGGGCAGGAGAGGUGGCUCAGUGGCUAAGAGCACUGGCUGCUCCCUAGAGGACAAGGGUUUGGUUCCCAGCACUCACAUGGCAGCUCACAACCACCUGAAACUCUAGUUGCAAGGUGACUGAUGCCCUCUUCUGGCCUCUGUUGGCACUGCAUGCUAGUCCACAGACAUGCAGGCAAAACACCCAUGCACAUAAAAACAAAUACAUCUUAAAAUAUUUUUUUUUAAGAAAGGCAGAAGUAGGCAGAUUUCUGUGAGUUCAAGACCAGCCUGCUCUACAUAGUGAGUUCCAGGCUAGCUGAAGUUACACAGUGAGACCUUGCCUCAAAAAUAUUAAAAUAAAUAAGUAGAGAGAAAGGAAGAAAAGAAAGAAGGAAAAGAAAAGAAUGGAAGUGGGAUGAUGAGUUGAAGGAGCCCAGAAAAUGCUGGGCCAUGUAACCCCUGACCCUUUUUACAUCAUUUACCUAACACCCAAUUCUCCCAAGUUUGUUUGCUGCAGGCUUUUCUUUUGUGUGCUCUAUUAGAAGAAGUCCAGGCAAAGAAGGGCUUCCGCUGCUCCUCUGCAAGCUGCCAGCUUUCAUGUCUAAUCCUGGGGCUUCUGUCAGUCUCUCCUGCCUUUCUAGCUCUGUCUCUUGCACAAGUGCCGUGUGUGUGGAGAUUAGACCGUUCUCCACAAACAUCUGGGCUGAGCAUUGUUAUCCCAUGGGUCACAUCGUUUAUGCCUCACAACACCCUGUCACCUUUCUGUAAUUUGUCCCAAACGCGUCCAGGGUGGUGGGACUCGAGUCCAGUUCCUCCAUUUAGGGUAGUGUGUCUGCUUCACUUUGAAAAUGGGUGUUUGAUGGACGCAGCUUAUGUCUUCUUUAAUUUAUUUUUUUGUUUUUGUGUGUUACAUUUGCCUGCAUAUAUAUGUUCACUGUGUGUAUGCAUUACCCACAGAGACCAGAAGAGGGUAUAAUAUCCCUGAGAACUGAUGGAGUAAUGGGUUGCACACCCAUCACCUCACACUUCUCCCCUUGUUGGAUUCAACCCACCAAUUGAUGCUUCUGUAAUUCUCUAGUUGGUCAGAUGAGCCAGUUUGAUAUUACUAAAUCUUUUCUUUCUUCCUUCUCCUCCUCCUCCUUCCUCUUCCUCUUCUUCACCUCCUCCUUCUUCUCUUUUGAGACAGAGUUUCUCUGUGUAGCCCUGGCGUUCUUGGAACUUGCUCUGUAGACCAGGCUGUCCUCGAUCUCAGAGAUCCACCUGCCUCUGCUUCCUGAGUGCUGGGAUUAAAGGUGUUUGCUACCAAGCCUGGCUGCAUCCUGAGUCUUUAAAAUUCUGGAUGUGUUUAUGUCUCCUUGCUUCUUGAUCUUUUAGGCUUGAAAUUCUUCAAAAGAUCUCAAAUGUCUGUCUCCUCCAAAAGCAUUUUCACUUGGCUGCACGUAUGGGAGCGGCUUCUGUGUCCGGAGGCUGUGCUGGCUGGCUCUUGAGUUUGAUGGUGUUUGUAAUAGGGCAGAAAAAGAGCCCCCCCCUUUUAUACUAGUUUAGUCACAAUGUUUUCGUGGAUUUUGUUAGAACCGAACCCUAUUCGUACCACACACAGCCUGUCUCAAAACACAAGGUGGAUGGUACCGAGGAAUGACAUCCAAGGUUGAUCACUGGCCUCAACGGGCAUACACAUACAUGUAUGCACACAUGUGCACCUGCCCUCAUGAGCACAAACACACAUGCACAAGCUACAAUGUCCUUCAUGGGUCAUGGUCAAAGGCAGUUGUUCUGUGUUUUUUUCCUACUGGAAUGUUUUGGUAAUGUCUCAGGUAGGACAUGCUGUGGAGCUUUGGAGUGAGCUCCAUUUUGGCCCAGUGCACUGGUCAGCAGGUGCUGGGUGGUUGUGGGAGGGGCUUGGGAGUACAUUGUAGAGUAUCAGGAUCCCCUAUGCUGGGAAGCCUGGGUAUGGCUGUUGAAGUCACAGCAUAGUCAAUGGUGUGUCAACUCCUUAAGCUCUUGUGGUCACUAGCUGGGCAGUGAAUGGAAUUAGUGUAGCACUGAGCACUCGACCAAAAAAAAAAGACCUGAUCCCACGCAGCUGCCAGGCUCCACAGUACUUGGCGUGGGUACUGGUCUGACUACUCCAAAGCCAAGUUGGGUAACUCCUCCCCUCCCCUUAGCUGACAAGGUUAGUCAUUGCUGACACCUCCUGAGUCCUCAGUCUUUCUCAUUUUCCAGAACAAUCCCCACAAACAGGUCACGUGGUAUGCCACGUCCAUUGCCAGACUCCUUUGCAGAUCCACGACUGUUUUGCAUACCCGGGUGUUUCAAAGGCUGACCUCCUCCUGUGAGUCCCUGCCCUAGGUGCUUCAGCCUGUGGCUGUAACCUUUGCUCCCAGGCCUUGCUUUAGCCAGGGGGGAACUUUCCUCUUCUGCCCAUCCAUCUACCUCCCACCUCAGAGGUCACCGAACCCUUCCCCAGGCAGCUGCUCUGCUAAGUCCAGAGGGAUAAAGCAAAUGGAGGUUUCUAAGCAAAGCCCAAGGGCAGUGCUGAGCUAAGUCGCCUGCACCAGCAGAGUGCUGACGGCUUUCCAAGCCACGUGAGCACGCAGGGCUGCUCAGUGUCUUUCCUACAGGAAGUGUGUCUUCAUCCAGCUGGUCAUCCAUCAUCAGGAAGUACUUAGUACACAAGUAUGAAGUACCAAGGGGCUCUUCCCAGACAGGUGCUGCCUAGACGCAAGGCUCAGUACCCGACCCGAUGGCACAUGCCUGUAAUCUCAACAACUCAGGCGGAUCUGUAAAUUCUGUGUUCUGCCUGGGUGACUUAGGGAGACCUUUUGUUGAAAUUCAGCUUUUAGGAAAAGGUCUGGGGAGUGUACUCAGUGGUAAAGUGCUUGCUUGGCAUCUGCAAGGCCCUGCAUUCCCUCUCCAGCCCUGAAAAAAGAAAAACAAAAAGCAAAUGAAAAGGCAACAAUAGUUCGUGCCUACCAAUGCAAACAUAAUAGUUUGUGCUAAAUUGACUUAGUGAAAGGUUUGUUUUUUAAAAUUAUUUUUAUUAUCUUAAAUUUCGUGUAUGUGUGUGGGGGUGCUGGGUGCAUGUGAGUGCAGGUGCCUUGGAGAAAUGUUGGAUCCUCUGGAGCUGGAGUGACAGGUUGCUAUGAGCCUCCUAAUGUGAGUGCUGGGAACCUAAUUCUGAUCCUCUUCAAGGAGCUCAGCCACUUCUCCAGUCCUUAGAGCAGUGGUUUUCAACCUAUAGGUCCAGACCCCUUUGGAGGAUUGAAUGACCCCCUCCCCCGGGCCACACAUCGGAUAUCCAUAUCAGAUAUUUACAUUACAACUCACGACAGUAGCAAAAUUAGUUAUGAAGUAGCAACGAAAUAAUCUUAUGGUUGGGCUCACCACAACACGAGGGACUGUAUUAAUGGGUCGAAGCAUUAGGAAGGUGGAGAACCAUGUUCUAGAGGAAGAUUUAUUUCUUCAGGCCGGUUGUGGCAAGCCCAGGACUUUCUUCUUACCAUUCUGUAUGUGUUCUGUUGUGUGAUGCUAGCUAGACAUUGAGCCCUGAACUAAUUCAUUCCUUCCCUCUCCUUCCCCUGCUUCUCCUGUUCCUCUUCCUUGCUUCCAAUUAAUUUUGUGAGCAUGUGUGUGUGUGUGUGUGUGUGUGUGUGUGUGUGUGUGUGUGUGUGUGUGUGUGUGUGUUGUACUGGGGUUCAGGCCCAGAAGUUCUCUUGAAAGCCGUUUGAGUGGCUCAGAGAAGUGGGACCGUUGACAUAAAGUGACUUUCUAAAGAGUGGGGCUCGUCCAGGGCCUGUCCCACAAGGUGUCCCACCUGAGUAAACACUAUUUGCAUAUCAAUGUGUGGAUUACAGACUUUUUCUUUGUGGGAACAAGCCAGUGCUCUGGUACUCACACAGGUGUACAAACAUCUAGGGAACCCUCAAACCCUGUGCAACCUGGGAACAGAGUCCUCAGGCCUGAGGCCAAGGCCAUGCAGUCUCUGUCCGGGGCAGUUGUUGCAGGACCCCCACCUCCCGUCCGCUGCCGCCGCCGCCGCCGCCGCCGCCGCCGCCGCCCUUUCACAGGUGACCCAGCUUCCCGCAUGCUCGGAGUCACUGCUUCUGCAACCAGAUUUGCAACUCAAGGUUUUCCUCUUGGUUCUUAGUCACACAGAUAAAAGAACUUAAAAUGGAUUCAAAAGAAAUCUCAAAAACAAUUUUAUCGGCAUUAUAGACAGAAACCCAGCAGGGCCAGCAGCUGCCUCGAGAAGAAGAAAAAGAGAAAGUUGUGGUUUUUUUGAGUUUGAGGUCAGGAAAGCAAGCCGGUUAAGCAAUGGACGUCUACAAGCAGCUGCCACGGAGAGGGGGGAGGGCGGGGUCGAGGGAGGGAGAGAGGUUCUUCUGGAGGUUGAGAGGCCAGGCAGGCUUCGGAAGGGCAGGAAGGAAGAUGCCCCUCUUUCUGAAUUCGAACUCAGAACCGGAGCAGGUUUUGCAGUGAGACCGUUAGCACCCACAGGAAAGGGGGGCUUUCUCGGUAUUCGAAGACCUCCGUCCUGAAUGUCUUCAGGUGUGUUGUGUUUCUGUGCACCUCCUGGUUCCGGGCCACAGAACCUCUUGAGGUUCUAAGACAGGAGUUUGUCCUUGUUUCAGGAUGUCUUCGCCUUGCCUGGGCAGAGGCUCCUGCCGUCUCAUCACAGGAGGCUGUCAACCCUUGACCAGGACAUCUGUGAUGGGGUGAAGGGGACUAUGGACCGUAGGGGGACAAGUUUUGAGAGGUGGGUUUCUCCUUCCACCACGUGGGGCCUGAGGACAGGUCUCAGGUUGCCAGCCCCGGCGGCGGCGGCGGCGGCAAGUGUCUUCAUGUGCUAAGCCAUCUCCCAGGCCCCGACUCCUCCCCUCCAGAAAUCAUUCCAGUUUUGCCAGAUGACAUCGCUGUGCGCUCUGUCCCCCGAGGUGCUUGUGGAGCACUUGGCUGCAGUGUCUUUGUUUGUUGCACACGGAGGAAAGGUGGCUUUCAUAGUGGUUGGAGAGUUCACUGUACACGAACAGGACUUUUCCAAGAGCCACACUGAAUGCCAGGCCUCAAGUAGGGCCCCAUGCCGCAGCCACCACAGCCGUAGCAGCUGUUGCUCCUGCUGCUGCUGCUGCUGCUGCUGCUGCUGCUUGCUGCAGCCUCUCCCAGGAGGGUAAGGUGGGAGGCUCGGGCAGUAUCGGAUGGGUGCAGUACAGAAGAACAGGGUAAUCGGAUUGUUACAGGUGCUUCAAGGCAGCUGAGUCACUGCGGGUGAUCAAUGACCCGGUGGAGCAGACGUCAUCAGUGGGGGCGGGGAGGCAGCCUGUAACUCCAAGUCCUCCAUCUGGAAGCCGUGGGGCUAGCAGGCUACACCAGAUUGGUUCCUGCAGGAAGGACAGACAGGCACUGGCUGCUGAUGCAGAUCAGUGUGAUUUCCUCUGCAGCGGUACAGACAGGUCUGGGGAAGCCUGCUGGCUUGACCCAUUCCUUCCAGAUGGAGGACCCCAAGUGGCAGGUUUCCUGCACACUCCCACUGAUGAUGCCUGCUCCCCUGGAUUAUCAGUCACACCCAGUGACCCAGCUGCCCUGCGGCAUUUGAGGCAACCCUGUGUCCGUUCAGGGGAUGAAGAAAUGGAGACUCAGAGAGACAAAGAAGCUACAAGCAGGAAGUGGCUGAGAUGACUGCAGAAUGGCUCCAUCCUUAGACAUCAGGGACGGUGUGACCAGUCUCUGAGAGCUACAGCCAUGAUUUCAAGUAGUUCUAACCCAAGGCCAGAGGGCUGCAGGCCGCUGAAGAUAGUUAGGAAUGCAGCCCAACACAAAACUCUAACAUUUACUUAAAAGACUAUGUAAUUUAUUCUAUUUUUGUGAUUCUGUUGACUCAGUUAUGAGGUUCUUUUUUCAUCUUUGUGUGCAUGAUAUGGUGUGUGUGUGUGCGCGCGCGCGCGCGCAGCGCGCGUGUGUGUGUGUGCGCGCACGCGCGCGUGCGCGCACGCUCACAGAUGUGUGUAUGUGUGCAUGCUAUGUGUAUGUGUGUGGAGGUUGGAGGAAGACCUGGGGUGUUAGUCCUUGUCUUCCACUUUGUUUGGGACAGAGUUUCUUGUUUGCUGCUGUGUACCCAGGCUCGCUAGCUCAUGAACUUCUGGAAAGUCUCCUGUUUUCUUUACCAUCUUGUUAUAGGAGAACUGGGAUUACAAGAUGCCCACUAUAGCACCUUGCUUUUGUGUGGGUUCUGGGGGACCUGAAAUCAAGUCUUCCCCCCAUGCACGGGAAGAGCUCUGGUUCUGGGGGACCUGAAAUCAAGUCUUCCCCCCAUGCACGGGAAGAGCUCUGGUUCUGGGGGACCUGAGAUCAAGUCUCCCCGCAUGCACGGGAAGAGCUCUGGUUCUGGGGGACCUGAGAUCAAGUCUCCCCCCAUGCACGGGAAGAGCUCUGGUUCUGGGGGACCUGAGAUCAAGUCUCCCCCAUGCAGGGGAAGAGCUGUACCCUGAGCUAUCUUCCCAGGCUGCUUGGGUGGUUCUGGAGUCUUAACUUGGUAGAUGACGACAUGGUGGUGUAAUGUCAAAAGGUUGGACACACCCGGUGGAUGUUCAGAGAUGUGAGCUGUCUUCUUCAUUCCUUUGGCCUCUGUACCGCGCAAUAAUCUGUGUCCCUGAAGGGGGACCCUGCCACCUUGAGAGGAGCCAGCAGCCCAUUGGAGCCCGGUUGGGGAUCUAGAGAGGAGCACCAGAUUCAAUCAAUAAAAAAAGCAAGAUGAAGCCGUGAGAUGGCUCCGUGGGAAAAGAGCCUGCUGUGCGAGCUGUGAGUUUGAUCCCUGGAACCCACAGAAAGGCAGAGGGAGAGAGUCAACACCACGGAGUUGUCCUCUGCUCUCCAUAUGUGUGCUGUGGUAUCAGUCCUCCCCAAUAACACUAACAAUACUAGAAAUGCAAGAUGCCUAGAUAUGUUUGAAUUGACUUUCAUGUAAAGCUAAACAAUUUUUGGAGGAUAAAAAGUAUGUCUUGUAUGAUCAUUGGAAUAUAUUUAUUUAAUAAAUAAAACUAUUUAAUAUACUUA